CAAAUCUAUAGAGGAUCUAAUAGACUUUUAAUUUUGAAGCAAACUCAGAAGACAAGAGAACACUUGAUUUAAACAGUUAGGCAAACACCCCCUCAUAAAUCACUUAUUGAGAAACACACAUAUCACAUUUGUUUAUAUCAAUUGUAUAAAUAGCUUAUUGUUAUGAGUUAGUUGAGAAAAUUUCCCUUGCUGUUUGCUUUGUUGAAUGUAUUAAGUACAUUUAAAUAUUUCUAGGUUUAUCUUAUAAUUUUAUGAUGAGUUUGAUAAUGAAUACAUGGACCAUUUUGCUUAUAACAUCAAUUAUGGUGCUGGUGAGAUUUAUUGGACAAGAAGGAUAAAAUAGCAGAAAAGAGAGCUGAGUUAUUGAAAGAGGUUACUUUUACAAAGUGGUGCUUUUGCAGCACAAAUGAUCCCGAUCCCAAUGUGGCCUGGAAGCGACCAUUCAGUUUGCUUUUCACUCUAAUUGGGAAACGGUAGCAACGCUUUUCACUUAUAUGGGAGCAGAAGCAUUGACCCACCACCUGGAAAUACUGAGUUAUUUUCCUGAGACCUUCUGAUUUCCAGUCUCUGUUACCUCCUUACAAUGAUUUAGAUAUGGUUUUUUAUCCGUGGCAUGAACAAAGGCUUAGAGAGCCUGACUGGUGUGAAAAUGAAUUUGACAAAACAAGUUGUGACCUUCUUUUCAGAGAAAAAGAAAACGAUAACAUUGAUUAAGCUGUGUAAUGUGUUAGACCAUUAAUUCAGUACCCGUACACGUCUUCCAAGAUGUUUCAGUAACUGGAGCCCGCUAUUGUACCAAGGUUCUUCCUCAAGGGCAUCUUUUUAGAGGUACUGUGAGUGCAUCUUCAUGGACGAUAAUGUUUACACCUUUUCGUACAGUGACUGUCACAGAACUGUUUAAGAGAGAAGAUAUUGGACGCAUGGAAUGGCAGAGUAGGUCCCCUGAUUUUAAGGCGAUUGAACAUGAACACGUGUGGGACGCACUACAGCAGGAUUGGGUAGCAAUUUCUCAAGAGCUUCUC